rnacentral:lncRNA from 1 species
CGAGGAUUCAAACAUCAUUCUACAAUAACAAUCACCAAAAAUAGGCUCAAAGUAGACCAAAAUAGAUACUAAACAGACCUAAAAUUAACUCAAAAAACAAGUACUCAACACAGGUUAUCAGAUGCUCAAAGAUUAAAAAUUUACAACUAGAAUAUCCAAAAAAAAAGAAGUACACCAAGUUAACAUCAUUAUACACUAACAAACACCAAAAC